GAUGAACGCUGGCGGCGUGCCUAAUACAUGCAAGUCGAGUGAACAGACGAGGAGCUUGCUCCUCUGACGUUAGCGGCGGACGGGUGAGUAACACGUGGAUAACCUACCUAUAAGACUGGGAUAACUUCGGGAAACGGGAGCUAAUACCGGAUAAUAUAUUGAACCGCAUGGUUCAAUAGUGAAAGACGGUUUUGCUGUCACUUAUAGAUGGAUCCGCGCCGCAUUAGCUAGUUGGUAAGGUAACGGCUUACCAAGGCAACGAUGCGUAGCCGACCUGAGAGGGUGAUCGGCCACACUGGAAAUGAGACACGGUCCAGACUCAUACGGGAGGCAGCAGUAGGGAAUCUUCCGCAAUGGGCGAAAGCCUGACGGAGCAACGCCGCGUGAGUGAUGAAGGUCUUCGGAUCGUAAAAAUCUGUUAUUAGGGAAGAACAAAUGUGUAAGUAACUAUGCACGUCUUGACGGUACCUAAUCAGAAAGCCACGGCUAACUACGUG
rnacentral:rRNA from 1 species